AUUGAACGCUGGCGGCAUGCCUUACACAUGCAAGUCGAACGGCAUCGCGGGAAAGCUUGCUUUCCUGGCGGCGAGUGGCGAACGGGUGAGUAACACAUCGGAACGUACCGGCUAGUGGGGGAUAACCCGUCGAAAGACGGGCUAAUACCGCAUACGCUCUUCGGAGGAAAGCAGGGGACCUUUGGGCCUUGCGCUAGCCGAGCGGCCGAUGUCCGAUUAGCUAGUUGGUGGGGUAAAGGCCUACCAAGGCGACGAUCGGUAGCGGGUCUGAGAGGACGAUCCGCCACACUGGGACUGAGACACGGCCCAGACUCCUACGGGAGGCAGCAGUGGGGAAUCUUGGACAAUGGGGGCAACCCAGAUCCAGCAAUGCCGCGUGGGUGAAGAAGGCCUUCGGGUUGUAAAGCCCUUUCGGCAGGGAAGAAAUCGGCGGGGCGAAUAACCCUGCUGGAUGACGGUACCUGCAGAAGAAGCACCGGCUAACUACGUG
rnacentral:rRNA from 1 species